UGGAGGAUAUAGAUAUUCCUAGAGAGAGCAUUAAUAAAAUGCAUGAAUAAUCAAAGCCGCAAAAGUCAAAACCACAAAUGUGGAGGGACAAGUGUACUGUGUUUCACAAUUCAAGGUGUUACUUAAAAAACCAAUUGAAUUUAAUAGGGCUUCCUUUCAGUAAGUAUAUGGCAGCAGCAUAUUUUACCAUUUUAAGUGUUAUGGUAUCACAAUAUUCUUAAUACCUUUCCCAUUGUUCUUUUUGCUUCUUUAUUUUUUAGUUUAUAAGGCUGUUUAGUGAAAGGCAUGUGUGAUUUAUCUUUUAUAAAGUAUACAGUAGAUGGUUUUAUAGGCAAUGGCAAACCUCCUCUGAAUAAAGCUUGCCCAUAAUGCCCCAUGAUAGAUUCGUCUUAGGGUUGCUAUAAGUCAGAAACAACUUGAAGGCACACAAGAAAAAAAAAUAGCUCAUAUACAGGUAAUUGUUCAGAAGCAUUUUGCUAGAAUUAUAAAAGUAAUUAACAUUGCCUUUGGGAGUUUGUACUAGCCUCCUUGUAAAAGAAUUGAAAAGAGUAAAAUGGUCUCCUGCAGGAUGCUAGAAUUUUUGCCAGCAAGCAGUUGCAGUCGUUUCUGUUCCUUGUGCUGGGUUUAAAAAACAAUCAGAAGCUUGUGUUGAAAAGGGGAGAGAAAAAGAAUGAGAACAAGCCAAAAAUAUGUAAUGAAUUGUGCUAAAUCUACUGUUGGUGUGAUGUACUUUUUAAGUCAAACAUGAUGAAACAUUUAAGACACAAAUAUAUAAGAAUUAGAGAAAUAUGUAUCACAUCAAAAACAUGUAAAAACCCAGGGGUUAUCACAUUAGACACCACACAUUUCAAGGUGCUGGACAAUUACAUCAUUUAGCUAGAAAUAUACAGUACUGUAAUUACUGUUUCUCAGUGCUCUGAUUGUGGGAGACGGUCUGUUUUCCUGAUAUGCCAUGGACCUGUGCCAUAUUUGUGCCCACUGGCUGUAACUGUUUCUUUCUUUCUUUGGAAACUGCAGACCAGUAACUGAUGGUUCAAAGACUGGAACUGAUCUAGGGACCAUCAAUUUGAAUAGCAGUAUUCUAUGGCCUUCCUCAGUGACUAGACAAAGUUAACAACAACACGUCAUUCCACAGUCUGGGGGCAGCAGAUGAAAAAAUCCUCUGGGAAACCAUUGCCAGUCUUGUCCUGUCCAGUUGGAGCAAACAUUUGCCAGAAGACCUGAGUGUACAGGGAGGAUUGUACGGGAGAUAGCAAUCCUGUACAUAACCUGGGCCCCAAUCAAAUCUGAAUGAAAGAUUAAGGAGAAAGAAUAUUACUCUAUAAACUUUAAGUUUCCUGAUGAUGCCUGAAGCUGAUCUAAAGAUACAAGUUUGCCUGUGUAUAAUUAAAAUCUUUUCUGUUUUGGUA